GCUCAGUUAGUUUAGUUAGUAAAAUGCUAGAUAAUUUUAUAUUUUUUAUCUUAGAAAUGCAGGUUUGAUUCCUGCACUGGACU